rnacentral:rRNA from 1 species
CCUACGGGGGGCUGCAGUGGGGAAUAUUGGGCAAUGGGCGCAAGCCUGACCCAGCAACGCCGCGUGAAGGAAGAAGGCUUUCGGGUUGUAAACUUCUUUUCUGAGGGACGAAGAAAGAGACGGUACCUGAGGAAUAAGCCACGGCUAACUACGUGCCAGCAGCCGCGGUAAUACGUAGGAUGCAAGCGUUAUCCGGAUUUAUUGGGUGUAAAGGGCGUGUAGGCGGGAAAGCAAGUCAGAUGUGAAAACUUAGGGCUCAACCCUGAGCCUGCAUUUGAAACUGUUUUUCUUGAGUGUUGGAGAGGUAAUCGGAAUGCGUGGUGUAGCGGUGAAAUGCGUAGAUAUACGGAGGAACACCAGUGGCGAAGGCGGAUUGCUAAACAGUAACUGACACUGAGGCGCGAAAGCGUGGGGAGCAAACAGGAUUAGAUACCCUUGUAGUC